AAUAGAUACCCUGGUAGUCCACGCCGUAAACGAUGAGUGCUAAGUGUUAGAGGGUUUCCGCCCUUUAGUGCUGCAGCCAACGCAUUAAGCACUCCGCCUGGGGAGUACGGUCGCAAGACUGAAACUCAAAGGAAUUGACGGGGGCCCGCACAAGCGGUGGAGCAUGUGGUUUAAUUCGAAGCAACGCGAAGAACCUUACCAGGUCUUGACAUCCUCUGACAACUCUAGAGAUAGAGCGUUCCCCUUCGGGGGACAGAGUGACAGGUGGUGCAUGGUUGUCAUCAGCUCGUGUCGUGAGAUGUUGGGUUAAGUCCCGCAACGAGCGCAACCCUUGAUCUUAGUUGCCAGCAUUUAGUUGGGCACUCUAAGGUGACUGCCGGUGACAAACCGGAGGAAGGUGGGGAUGACGUCAAAUCAUCAUGCCCCUUAUGACCUGGGCUACACACGUGCUACAAUGGAUGGUACAAAGGGCUGCAAGACCGCGAGGUCAAGCCAAUCCCAUAAAACCAUUCUCAGUUCGGAUUGUA
rnacentral:rRNA from 1 species